rnacentral:lncRNA from 1 species
GGGGCUGCACUGGAAUACCUCAUAGAAAGGUUUCCAGUUCAUAAAACACUUUCAAAACAUGCUCAGCCCUUUCAAGUUGUGGGGACAUUAUCAUUUCUAUCUAUGGCAUUUCUCUGCAAAUUGAACUCAAAUAUCCUUUGGGCUGACUACAUAGGGAACAGAAGAAAGAGGUGGAAGAAACUUGGACUAAAGAUUGCCUCCCUGAAAAGGUUUCCUUCAGGCGGAAUUAGGUGGGAACAAAUGACAUCAGAAAAUAGCAUGUCAGUGUACCGCUGCCAGCUCCAUAUGGUUCGGCUUGUUUUUCACAGAUUUUUUCCCACCUGUUCGCUUCUGUGUCCCCCACCGAGGACGUGCUCCCCACGAGGGCUGAAGGCAGUGUUGAAGAUGUGACCUCAGCCCUGAAUCACCAAGAUGACCCAGAGCGCUGACGAUCUGAUGAAUGGAACCUGGUCCAUCAGGC